rnacentral:rRNA from 1 species
GAUGAACGCUGGCGGCGUGCCUAAUACAUGCAAGUCGAGCGAACAGAUGAGGAGCUUGCUCCUCUGACGUUAGCGGCGGACGGGUGAGUAACACGUGGAUAACCUACCUAUAAGACUGGGAUAACUUCGGGAAACCGGAGCUAAUACCGGAUAAUAUAUUGAACCGCAUGGUUCAAUAGUGAAAGACGGUUUUGCUGUCACUUAUAGAUGGAUCCGCGCCGCAUUAGCUAGUUGGUAAGGUAACGGCUUACCAAGGCAACGAUGCGUAGCCGACCUGAGAGGAGAAUCGCCCCACUGGGACAUGAACCACGUGCAGAGCCCCUAGGGGGGGCAGAGGUAGGAAACCUUCCGAAAGGGGCAAAAGCCUGACGGAGCAACGCCGGUGAGGGAUGAAAGUUUUUCGGUUCUAAAACCCCUUUUAUUAGGAAAAAAAAAAUUGUAAAGAAACAUGCCCGGUUUUGAGGUUACCAAAACAAAAAGCCCCGGUAAAUUCCGU